rnacentral:rRNA from 1 species
GUAGUCAUAUGCUUGUCUCAAAGAUUAAGCCAUGCAUGUCUAAGUAUAAGCAAUUAUACGGCGAAACUGCGAAUGGCUCAUUAUAUAAGUUAUCGUUUAUUUGAUAGUACCUUACUACUUGGAUAACCGUGGUAAUUCUAGAGCUAAUACAUGCUUAAAAUCCCGACUUCGGAAGGGAUGUAUUUAUUAGAUUAAAAACCAAUGCCCUUCGGGGCUCCUUGGUGAUUCAUGAUAACUUCUCGAAUCGCAUGGCCUUGUGCCGGCGAUGGUUCAUUCAAAUUUCUUCCCUAUCAACUUUCGAUGUUUGGGUAUUGGCCAAACAUGGUUGCAACGGGUAACGGAGGGUUAGGGCUCGACCCCGGAGAAGGAGCCUGAGAAACGGCUACUACAUCCAAGGAAGGCAGCAGGCGCGCAAAUUACCCAAUCCCGACUCGGGGAGGUAGUGACAAUAAAUACUGAUACAGGGUUCUUUUGGAUCUUGUAAUUGGAAUGAGUACAAUUUAAAUCCCUUAACGAGGAACAAUUGGAGGGCAAGUCUGGUGCCAGCAGCCGCGGUAAUUCCAGCUCCAAUAGCGUAUAUUAAAGUUGUUGUGGUUAAAAAGCUCGUAGUUGAACCUUGGGCCUGGCUGGCCGGUCCGCCUCACCGCGUGUACUGGUCCGGCCGGGCCUUUCCCUCUGUGGAACCCUAUGCCCUUCACUGGGUGUAGCGGGGAAACAGGACUUUUACUUUGAAAAAAUUAGAGUGCUCCAGGCAGGCCUUUGCUCGAAUACAUUAGCAUGGAAUAAUAAAAUAGGACGUGUGGUUCUAUUUUGUUGGUUUCUAGGACCGCCGUAAUGAUUAAUAGGGACAGUCGGGGGCAUCAGUAUUCAAUUGUCAGAGGUGAAAUUCUUGGAUUUAUUGAAGACUAACUACUGCGAAAGCAUUUGCCAAGGAUGUUUUCAUUAAUCAGGAACGAAAGUUAGGGGAUCGAAGACGAUCAGAUACCGUCGUAGUCUUAACCAUAAACUAUGCCGACUAGGGAUCGGACGAUGUUAAAAAUUGACUCGUUCGGCACCUUACGAGAAAUCAAAGUGCUUGGGCUCCAGGGGGAGUAUGGUCGCAAGGCUGAAACUUAAAGAAAUUGACGGAAGGGCACCACCAGGGGUGGAGCCUGCGGCUUAAUUUGACUCAACACGGGGAAACUCACCAGGUCCAGACACAAUGAGGAUUGACAGAUUGAGAGCUCUUUCUUGAUUUUGUGGGUGGUGGUGCAUGGCCGUUCUUAGUUGGUGGAGUGAUUUGUCUGCUUAAUUGCGAUAACGAACGAGACCUUAACCUGCUAACUAGCCCGUAUUGCUUUGGCAGUACGCUGGCUUCUUAGAGGGACUAUCGGCUCAAGCCGAUGGAAGUUUGAGGCAAUAACAGGUCUGUGAUGC